GCCAUCUUAGCUCAGUUGGUAGAGCGAUUGACUUGUAAUCAGUAGGUCUUCGGUUCGAUUCCGGAAGAUGGCU
rnacentral:tRNA from 2 species